AUUGAACGCUGGCGGCAGGCCUAACACAUGCAAGUCGUGCGGAUGAAGGGAGCUUGCUCCUGGAUUCAGCGGCGGACGGGUGAGUAAUGCCUAGGAAUCUGCCUGGUAGUGGGGGAUAACGUCCGGAAACGGGCGCUAAUACCGCAUACGUCCUGAGGGAGAAAGUGGGGGACCUUCGGACCUCACGCCAUCAGAUGAGCCUAGGUCGGAUUAGCCAGUUGGUGGGGUAAAGGCCUAUCAAGGCGACGAUCCGUAACUGGUCUGAGAGGAUGAUCAGUCACACUGGAACUGAGACACGGUCCAGACUCCUACGGGAGGCAGCAGUGGGGACUAUUGGACGAUGGGCGGAAGCCUGAUGGAGCCAUGCCGCGUGUGUGAAGAAGGUCUUCGGAUUGUAAAACGCAUUAAGUUGGGAGGAAAAGCAGUAAGUUCAUACCUUACUGUUUUGACGUUACCUGCAGAAUAAGCAACGGCUAACUACGUG
rnacentral:rRNA from 1 species